CCCCCCACUUCUCCCAACUCGUGCCCUUUGAAACGCCCAAAUUGUUGGCGGAUGGUUUAAACAUUUGUUGCGCGAGCAGUACAACUCAACGCAUUGUUACCUCGCCUGAAGACCGACCCAUCGCUUACUACUGCGACCUAGUAAACUACCAACACUAAAAUGGCGGCCAACGUUGAAGAAGCUCGUCUUCUUGCAAACGGCGAAGACAGUGCAACUAGUGUUGACGAGGCUGGUCGUCUAACAGGCUCUUCAUCUAACACAACUCAAGGUAAGCUUGUUGCGCCUCCGGGUGUCCCCGGGUUGUGUGGAACUGAAAAAGCAGCAGCCCCGAAUAACCUCAUAACAGAGGUAUCGGUACCUUUGAGUGGCGAUAACAGCGGGUCCAAACCCUGUGACGGAGGUUCAGUAGUGACUCCACAGGAUUCACCACAGACUAAAACAGCCCGAAGUCUUGGUCCUGAGUCCAGCGGAAGCAAAACCUCCACCUCGACAUCUGGGGAAAAGCGGGAGAGGGAAUCCGACAACACCUCUGAUAUUCCAGUGAAACGUCGUUUGAGACUAUCGGAGGACACAGAGGAAGAAAGUGUACGAGACUAUGAUGCGAGAUGCGCCGAGCUAUGGAUCGAUGGUGAAAUGGCCGCUUGCGAAGCUUAUGAAUUACCUCAAGCCAGCAGCAACGGCAGACGCCAACACUUCCCCAGAGACCCAAGACAAGUAAACAAUGCUAUUCGACGCAAUAACAAUUCUUUGGCUCAGCCUGCCACCCAGAAGACGAACAGCGUACAUCCCGGAAUAAUCACCUGUUUUACAGAGUUGAUCAAGCUUUAUCGUCACACUGAUACUUUGCGGAGAGCGGAUUUCACAGAGUUGAUCAAUUUAGUUCGUGAAGUGCAAAGGGAUUUUGCAGUGUUGUCAAAUGAAAUCCAUAAUAUUCGGGUGGAUCAAAGGAAAAUGUUAGAUGCACUCUCUCUUCUGUCUGAAAGAAUGAAUGUCAUUCAAAUGUAUGUGUUAGACACACACAAAACAAUUAUUGGCAAUAGAUGAUGUGUCUGUUUAUACUGAUUUGUUGUGCUCAAGCCACUGUUGUUUCUGGUCUCCAGUUUUAUAUGACAAGUGUUUUUUGUGGCACCCACGCUUGUUCAUUGGAUCAGUUACGUGUGUAGUUUUUAAAUAAAUCACUUCAAAAUG